CGCGACGCUGGCGGCGUGCCUAAUCAUGCAAGUCGAGCGAAUGAAAGAGAAGCUUGCUUCUCUGGAUUUAGCGGCGGACGGGUGAGUAACACGUGGGCAACCUACCUUAUAGAUGGGGAUAACUCCGGGAAACCGGGGCUAAUACCGAAUAACUCCAAGCACCUCCUGGUGCUUGGCUGAAAGACGGUUUCGGCUGUCACUAUAAGAUGGGCCCGCGGCGCAUUAGCUAGUUGGUAAGGUAACGGCUUACCAAGGCAACGAUGCGUAGCCGACCUGAGAGGGUGAUCGGCCACACUGGGACUGAGACACGGCCCAGACUCCUACGGGAGGCAGCAGUAGGGAAUCUUCCACAAUGGACGAAAGUCUGAUGGAGCAACGCCGCGUGAGUGAAGAAGGUUUUCGGAUCGUAAAACUCUGUUGUAAGGGAAGAACAAGUACAGUAGUAACUGGCUGUACCUUGACGGUACCUUAUUAGAAAGCCACGGCUAACUACGUGCCAGCAGCCGCGGUAAUACGUAGGUGGCAAGCGUUGUCCGGAAUUAUUGGGCGUAAAGCGCGCGCAGGCGGUCCUUUAAGUCUGAUGUGAAAGCCCACGGCUCAACCGUGGAAGGUCAUUGGAAACUGGGGGACUUGAGUGCAGAAGANGUUAGUGGAAUUCCAAGUGUAGCGGUGAAAUGCGUAGAGAUUUGGAGGAACACCAGUGGCGAAGGCGACUAACUGGUCUGUAACUGACGCUGANGCGCGAAAGCGUGGGGAGCAACAGGAUUANAUACCUGGUAGUCCCGCCGUAACGAUGAGUGCUAANUGUUAGGGGNUUCCNCCCUUAAUGCUGCANUA
rnacentral:rRNA from 1 species